CAACCCUGAUCCAGCCAUGCCGCGUGCGGGAAGAAGGCCUUCGGGUUGUAAACCGCUUUUGUCAGGGAAGAAACGCGCUGAGCUAAUACCUCGGCGUAAUGACGGUACCUGAAGAAUAAGCACCGGCUAACUACGUGCCAGCAGCCGCGGUAAUACGUAGGGUGCAAGCGUUAAUCGGAAUUACUGGGCGUAAAGCGUGCGCAGGCGGCUUUGCAAGACAGAUGUGAAAUCCCCGGGCUUAACCUGGGAACUGCAUUUGUGACUGCAUGGCUGGAGUGCGGCAGAGGGGGAUGGAAUUCCGCGUGUAGCAGUGAAAUGCGUAGAUAUGCGGAGGAACACCGAUGGCGAAGGCAAUCCCCUGGGCCUGCACUGACGCUCAUGCACGAAAGCGUGGGGAGCAAACAGGAUUAGAUACCCUGGUAGUCCACGCCCUAAACGAUGUCAACUGGUUGUUGGACGGCUUGCUGUUCAGUAACGAAGCUAACGC
rnacentral:rRNA from 1 species